CCCUUAGAUGUUCUGGGCUGCACGCGCGCUACACUGACGUACGCAACGAGCGUCCUUUACCGAGAGGUAUGGGUAAUCAUUUGAGUGUACGUCGUGAUGGGGAUAGAAUAUUGUAAUUAUUACUCUUCAACGAGGAAUUCCUAGUAAGCGCAAGUCAGCAGCUUGCGCUGAUUACGUCCCUGCCCUUUGUACACACCGCCCGUCGCUCCUACCGAUGGGUGAUCCGGUGAAUGAUUCGGACUCGGUUGCCUCUAGCCACUAGUGGCGCUCGAGAAAGUUUUGUGAACCUUAUCACUUGGAGGAAGGAGAAGUCGUAACA
rnacentral:rRNA from 1 species